AUUGAACGCUGGCGGCAGGCCUCACACAUGCAAGUCGAGCGAGCGGCGGACGGGUGUGUAAUGUAUGGGGACUGCCCGCUAGAGGGGGAUAACUACGGGAAACGGUGGCUAAUACCGCAUACUAUCGGAUAACCCAUAUGGGAUUAGCUAGUAGGGGGGGUAAAGGAUCACCUAGGCGACGAUCUCUAGCGGGUCUGAGAGGAUGAUCAGCCAAACGGGGACUGGGACACGGCCCAGACUCCUACGGAGGCAGCAGUGGGGAAUAUUGAACAAUGGGCGCAAGCCUGAUGCAGCCAUGCCGCGUGUAUGAAGAAGGCCUUAGGGUUGUAAAGUACUUUCAGCGGGGAGGCGUUACCCGCAGAAGAAGCACCGGCUAACUCCGUGCCAGCAGCCGCGGUAAUUC
rnacentral:rRNA from 1 species